AGAUUGAACGCUGGCGGCAGGCCUAACACAUGCAAGUCGAGCGGCAGCACGGGUACUUGUACCUGGUGGCGAGCGGCGGACGGGUGAGUAAUGCCUAGGAAUCUGCCUGGUAGUGGGGGAUAACGCUCGGAAACGGACGCUAAUACCGCAUACGUCCUACGGGAGAAAGGCAGGGGACCUUCGGGCCUUGCGCUAAUCAGAUGAGCCUAGGUCGGAUUAGCUAGUUGGUGAGGUAAUGGCUCACCAAGGCGACGAUCCGUAACUGGUCUGAGAGGAUGAUCAGUCACACUGGAACUGAGACACGGUCCAGACUCCUACGGGAGGCAGCAGUGGGAAUAUUGGACAAUGGGCGAAAGCCUAGAUCCAGCCAAUGCCGCGUGUGUGAAGAAGGUCUUCGGAUUGUAAAGCAACUUUAAGUGGAGAGGCAGUACCUAAUACGUAUACUUGUUUGACGUUACCGA
rnacentral:rRNA from 1 species